AGCCUAGUCACCAGGGACAUGCCGCGCUGAGUCCCGGGCUCAGAGGCACCAAGGCCGACAGGGCGGGCUGCUCUGUGUCAGGGCCCGGUUUCCGGGACCACCCGCCGGGCCGGGUCCCUCCGGGCAGAACCGCAUAGCCGCGCCUGGACCCAGAAAGCGUCGCGUCCAACCCGCGAGUCCCCGUGUAAGAUCCACAUGGGCAAGACCUUUAUCUGCUUUGUGUCCCAGAUGUAUCCCAGAUGUAUCCCAGGUGCCUAGAACAACAUCUGGCACAUAGCAUUGCUCAAUCAAUAUUGGCUGGAUGAGUGAAUGAGCUCUAAAGAAUGAGAAUUAACCAGGAAAACUGUUUGAAGAGGACAGUGGAGGAGAAUGUUCUGGGUAAAGAAACAGCAUAUAUAAAUGCCUUAACAAAUUAAGGGAGAAAAAUAACAUUUACACAUCAAACAGAUGACAUAAAAACAGUUGAUAAAAUUUAACACUCAUUCAUGAUAAGGACAAACUCUUUACUUAACAAGUUCUAAACAAACUCGUGCACUUACUUCUAAACUUGAUAAAGGGUUAUCUACCAGAAACUUACAGCAAACACCAUGUGUAACGGUGGAGCAUGAGAAGCAUUCCCACGGUCCAGCUGUUCUUCUGGCAUAUGGAAGGAUCACACUUCCCUACCCCUUUGGAAGUUAGGCUUGGCCAUGCGACUUGCUUUGAAAUGUCAGUGGACAGAACAGCAGUUACUUCAGGGUGGAAGCUUCAAAAGCCAGUACAUAAUUCCUCCUGCCAUAGUGAUUGUGGAAGCACACGUCCAUGUGCUUAGCCUCCAUCAGCCUGAGUCUCUGAGAAAUAACAAUAAGGAGCCCCUCCCUGACCCAUGACUUGUGUUGAAUAUGAGGUGUAAAUGAGAAAUAAAUUUUGAUUGUGUUGA